UAGGGAAUAUUGGGCAAUGGAGGCAACUCUGACCCAGCAAUGCCGCGUGAAUGAAGAAGGUUUUCGGAUUGUAAAGUUCUGUUCUAAGGGAAGAAUAAAAUGACGGUACCUUAGAAGAAAGCCACGGCAAACUACGUGCCAGCAGCCGCGGUAAUACGUAGGUGGCAAGCGUUGUCCGGAAUAACUGGGCGUAAAGGGAGUGUAGGUGGCUUUUUAAGUUAAAUGUGAAAUCCUUGGGCUUAACCCAAGAACUGCAUUUAAUACUGGAUUGCUAGAGUGCAGGAGAGGAUAGUGGAAUUCCUAGUGUAGCGGUAGAAUGCGUAGAUAUUAGGAGGAACAUCAGAGGCGAAGGCGGCUAUCUGGACUGUAACUGACACUGAGACUCGAAAGCGUGGGGAGCAAACA
rnacentral:rRNA from 1 species